UAAUAACAAACCCAAUGAAAGUCGAUUCAUUCAAGUUUAAUUAAUUUUUCAAUUGUGUUUACUUGUUGGUUUCCCAGCAAACAGCUUAUUGGACUUGACAAAAUGAAAGAAAAAGGUUAGCAAACAACAAAGUUCGUGACGGUUUGUACAUUUUGUGUAUAAGAACGCAAAACAAAUUAACACUUUCACAACGUUAACCAUUCAUUUUCAUUUUGUUUCCUUACCGGUUUAUGGUGAAGCUUUCUUCGCUAACCCAAUGCGAAUCAUCAAAAUUAAAUACUCUUCUAAAGAUAAUCAAAUCUCUUUGUAUUAUCCCUAUCAUCAUUACCUGUACAUUGCCUUGAAUAAUUUAAAUUGUUUCUUCGCCAUAUAUCAUCUUAUCAUCAUCUAUGUGCAAAUCAUUUAACAUAUUGUUAAGGGUGAAUAAUAAUUAACAAAAUAAACUUGCCGCCUAUCCAUAGAUAUCUUUAUCGUUAUCCGAUCCAAUUGAUCUUAUUGAUCCAUCAAGGACUAAACCCUAUCAUUUUGUCCACCAAUUUUUUUAUUGUUUACUUUCAAGAAAUCCUUUUUUUCAAUCAAUUCUUUGAUGAUAAUCAAAUAAAUAAUAAUAUAUUUAUGUGUAUUUAACAGGUUCGUAGACCUGACUUGACAUUGACUACUGAUUGCUGUGAAGGUUGAUGCCCAAAAUAGCAGGGAAAAGGUUGGUUGGCUAAAUUAAUCAAACCAGACUUUGCUAAAUAUAAGUAAUUUUACACUAAUAUUUGCGUGCACUGCCUUACCAAUUAAAUCAAUCAUCAUCAGAAAUGUUAAAUUAAUAACGAUUAGGCUAAACGCGAGCUCAGCUCUAAUUUAUAAGCCAAUUUUAAACAAUUAACCAAAGAGAUUCAAAUUUUUCCUGUUAAAAUUGUAAAACAAUAUUAACUUAUGGCUAUAAAUAUUACAGAAUAGCUUCUUUGGCUUUUCACCUUCUUCUUACCUGGAUAACAGCAGUAAUUAAUUGAUCAAACAGUUUCUCAAAAUAAAAGAUGAUUACUAUUCAAGUUUA